GCCGCGGCGCUGCCGCGAGGCGGCGCUGCGGGAGCCCGGCUGGGCCCGGCCCGCUCCCUCAAGUUCGCGCCGUGGGUUUUCCUCUUUGCUGUGACGGUGCUGAGGGGUGCGUUCGGGAGUUGCUCUCAUCUCCCCACACUGUGCUGCUGCUGCUAAAACGCUGCGCACCAGGAGAGCAGGAAAAACCAUCGCAGGGAAACAAACGAGCCUCUGUAUCCAGGAGUCCCUUGCACGGGCAAAAGGUUCAAGGAUGCCUGAGCAAAACCCAGGACAGCCCUAGAGCUCCCUCAGUUCAAUGCUGCCUGAGCGUCCUCAGCGCCUUCCAGGCACUUGAAUCCAAAUCUUCGGGACCAAUCCUGCAUUCAUAAAGCAUCGAGCUGAAGCUUUGAUGGCAAGGUGGAACAUCUUUGGACAAAGAGAAGUGCAGCCAGCCUCUGAAAAGCAGACCCUUUUGGAUAAAUUGACCUGGAUAAAACAACAAGGACAAGAUAGCAUUCAACUCAGUGUGCUGAAAGAGCAAAUAUGAAAUUUCUGAGCUACCAAAGCAGAACUUACACCAGCCACCACCUCAAGGAACAAAGCAUUUCACCAGGUCGGACAUUCUUCUUCAGUUCAUUGACGCAGAUCCAGAAAUGUCAUUAGGAAAAAAAGCUUAAGUGGAUUCUUCCUAGGCCUGACUGACCACAGAGCCUGAGAAGAGGUCGCCUUCACUUCCUCUGCCACUAGCUCCAGCUAAAACUCUACUCUGAUGUUUCGGAAGACAUAGGGACAAAGCUUGCCUAAAGUCAGACUGGGAAUAUCUGUUGAUUUUAAUAAAGUUUUGACAAGUCAACCUCGAAGGGAACCUACUCCUGUGCCCUCUGAACACUUGAAUUCAUGCUGUAACUCCAUCAAUACCAACAAAAUAAAUAGCCUCCUAAAGUCUAUUAUAACCAUUAUGGCUACUUAGAUUAAAGGAGUACAGUAAUAUUUGUUUGUACAGGUAAUCAGUGCAGCAGUCCUUACUAAUGUUUCCUGAGUAGCUGUUGCACUGGAGUGUUAAUAACAAUUUUUUCAAUUAUCAGCAAUUGUUUUGAAAAAAAGCCGCAAAGUAAACAACAUAAAUACUCCUUUGGUAAUCAAACCAAAGAUGAAAAGGAAAAAGUAAUGGUCAUCAUUCUAUCAAGUGUUAAUAUUCAACUUAAAGCUUAAAAAAACCUGCUUGAAUGAUGCUAUUUGUGCAGUCUUUUUCUGAAAACAAAUAAAAAAACCCUUUUAAAAUAGCUGAAGUUAUUAUUUUGAGCUGUAACACUUAUUUUUAACACACUUUUCAUCUCCAGAGCACUGAGCCAGAGCAUGGACCUUUGCUGAUCACACCAGCAAAGGAACUGAUAUUGGUCAUGAUUUCUGUGAUGUGCUAAAAACAUUUUGGAGGACAGGACCCUGUUACUACUUUUCCCACCAAACACAAUACAACUUUCAGGUAGCUAGAUCUGGUCAUGCUGGUUUUGACAGGCAGGGAACCUGGUGUAGGUAAUUUUAAAAAUAUGCCC